UACGGGGGGGGCAAGCGUUGUUCGGAAUUACUGGGCGUAAAGGGCUCGUAGGCGGCCAACUAAGUCGGACGUGAAAUUCCUCGGCUUAACCGGGGAACUGCGUCCGAUACUGGAUGGCUUGAGUUCGGGAGAGGGAUGCGGAAUUCCAGGUGUAGCGGUGAAAUGCGUAGAUAUCUGGAGGAACACCGGUGGCGAAGGCGGCAUCCUGGACCGGCAUUGACGCUGAGGCGCGAAAGCCAGGGGAGCAAAGC
rnacentral:rRNA from 1 species